CCCAAACAUACAUAUUUCUGAUUUAGACUUUUAAACUGUCAAUACCAGAGAGACAACGCCACUGAUGGGGACCUGGCACUAGUCCUUCCAGUUAAUUUUUUCCUUGGAGAAUGGUUUUGGGCGACAGAGUGGCGUCCGGCUUCCCAGGUUGUUGCACUGACAAACUGCAGUGGUGGCAAAGUCAAGGAGUCUGACAAAAUCUCAUUAAUCAUUUUAAAUUAAAUCCAACCUUCCUGUCCAACCAUGCCAGGAAGAAAGCCUUUAUUUUUUUUUUAACAAAUAAAAAUUUCCUCAGUAAAGAUUUGAUAUCUUUCUCUUGUUGGUCUUUAAUUUGAUGAGACAAAAAUAAAAUAAAACAAUGUACAUUUUUAAGCUUGAAAACAAAACAUUUGUCCAGAUAAUGAUUUAACAGGUCAACUAAGUGUCUUUUUAAAAUAAAUUUUGAAUAAAAAUACAUGGAAACAUUCUGAAGGGAAAGCCUACUAGGUAAAUUAGGGACAUUGUUCAUAUUCUGAAUAGUUUGAUUAAUUUAUUUUGUUCUAUCUAAAAUAUAUGAUCCUUAAGAAGAUUUUAAAGAGGAAAUACACAAAAAAUCCACUAUCUAUAAUAUUUUGGUAUAUUUUAUGCCAGUCUCUUCUUUGUAUUCACAGGUUUUUGCUUUGUUUUAUAUAAUAAUUGUAAUUUGUGUAUAUAUAUGUACAAUACACACAUGUACAAUUUUAUAUACUUUAUAAUAUCUGUAAGAAUUUUCCCAUAUUAUUGAUAAAUAUCAUUGCAUCAUAGUAAUACAUCAUGAGGAUGUAUUUUGGUCUUCUCAACCAGUGCUUAGCAUAGUGUCUGGUACAUAGAAUGUACUCGAAUAUUUGUUGGGUAUUUGUUAGAAUUUCAGUGUUUCCAUCUCUUUUUUCUUUUAAAAACUGAUGUAAUUAAAGUUGUGCAUAUUGCCUUUUCCCAAUUUGGAAUUAUUUCCUUAAGAUGACUUUCUAGAAGAAGACACAUUCACUUAUGAAUGCUUGACAAGAAACUGUAGGCAAUAGUGUUAUUAAUAAUGAUAUUUAGGAAAAAGUUCACUUUUGACACAGGAAAACAGGUUUUAAUUUGAAUAAACAAGUUGUUAUUUUAAAUAUUAAAGCUUAUGAAUAAGCUUACUCUCAUUGAGCACAAUAUUCAUAAUAUUGUCAAAAACUUAGACCAAUUAAAAGAAGUAACAAGAUCAAUGACAAACUCUUGAUGUUUUUCUUAUUUUUAAAAAAGGUCACCGAGUCUGCACGAAAAAAAGUAGGUAGGCAAUCUCCAAGUAGCAAUAACUCAUUCAGAUAGUUCAAAUUAUUUCUGGAGAGGUGAAUUUAUGUCUAGAAUAAUACACAGUUGAAUCUUAAUAUUUUUUAAAAGUUAGCUAAUAUACUCUGGUUUGUAAAUUGUGAAAGGUCUGGAUGUAUUUUUUAAAAAUGGAAAUAGUAAAGCCAUAUUUCUAUGUGAUUAUAUAGAAUCUAAACCAGAGCAAAAAUGAUUCAACUGGAUUUAUUGAGAAACUACUCUGGGCUAACAUCUGUGUUAGGCACUGAGUGAGAUACAAGAACAAAAUUUCCACCUGCAAGAAUUAAGAAAGUUGUCCUGGAGGGGAAAGAAUCUAACAGGACUUGGAAGGACAAAUAACAUUCAACAGGUAAAUAUGAAGAAAGGUUAACAGCUUUCCCGAAGAGAAACACAGUGCAAAUGAAUGGAAAUAUGAAAAUACAGAUUUUUAUGAAAAUACAAAUUCAUCAAGAUUAGAGAGUGCUAAUUUUAAAAGAAUGUAUUCAGUAAAAACCCUAUUGAUGACAAAUUUGGAGGGAAUUCUAAAAGUUGUUAAGCAUUUUUGUUCUUUCCUCUCUUCUUCUUUUCAUUUUCUUUUUCCUUCCUAGUAGGACACCAACUAGGAAACACUGAAUUGCUAAUUUGGUAAACAUUUACUAAAUGUUUAUAAUUAAGGUUUUUCAUAGAUAGAACAUGUUAAAAAUUUCUACUCACCUAGUUUUAAAAAUAAUCAGGAACAAAUCCCUACUCAGUAAUCAUAGGAAGUAGAAAAAGAAUACUACCCAAUUGGAGAGGGUUCCACUUCAAGUGAUGGUCAAGAAGUUCUUUCAGACCAACCUGCCAACAUAUGAAAUUACAAACUCUGGACAAAAUAUUUAAAAAUUAACUAACUGAAAGUAAUAGAAAACAACCAAAAGCAGGUUGAUCCUACAGAGGAGUGAAUACUUAGAAGAAAUAGCACUGGGUGAGUUUCCUAUUUUUAUAGUUCAUAGCCUGAGGAACUCCUCACUCUGCAUCAUGUGGAGACUACAGUUGUAUUGACUUGAAGAACACUAGGACACGUUUGGGGUAAUGGCAACUGCUGGAAAACGCAGAGGGAAAUCCUGAUACGAAAAGAACCACAGAGAGAGCCCUAAAUUCUGUGUAUGACUCUGCUAAAGCUGGCUGGUCUCCCACGCAUGCAUGUACAGAAGAGAUUUCAAGUACAAUAGCCAGGUUAAAAAGCUGAACUAAAAUCUGAGCUGCCACGAACUCUAGGGGAACCAGAGCUUGCAGCUGGCAGUUUGGCCAAGUUAACUAGCUGCUUUAAAAAAAAAAAAAAAAAAAAAAAAAAAGAAGCCUUUAGAGAAACAAAUAAAAAUCCAGGGUUUCUGCAACAUUUUACUUACCAUGUUCCAGACACAAUCUAAAUUACUCUACAUAUGAAGAAACAGGAAAAUGUAACCCAUUCUCGAAAGAAAAGAAAAUUAGAGAAGACUGACAAUGAAAUGAUCCAGAAUAUUGAAAUGAAUAUUGAAUAUAUUCAUACAUUAAAAUAAGAAUUUUGAAAAUUGAAUAUUGAAAUAUCCAAUACUGAAAUAUUGAAUAUUAAAAUACUAAAUAUUAAAAUAGACAAGUAUUUAAU
rnacentral:lncRNA from 10 species